rnacentral:rRNA from 1 species
AAGGAUGUUGACGUAAUGGCUUUUAAACGACCCGUCUUGGAAACACGGACCAAGGAGUCUAACAUAUGUGCGAGUGUUUGAACACUCGCAUAUAUGUUAG